rnacentral:rRNA from 1 species
AUUGAACGCUGGCGGCAGGCCUAACACAUGCAAGUCGAACGAGUGGCGGACGGGUGAGUAAUGUCUGGGAAACUGCCUGAUGGAGGGGGAUAACUACUGGAAACGGUAGCUAAUACCGCAUACCAUCAGAUGUGCCCAGAUGGGAUUAGCUAGUUGGUGGGGUAACGGCGCACCUAGGCGACGAUCCCUAGCUGGUCUGAGCGGAUGACCAGCCAAACUGGAACUGAGACACGGUCCAGACUCCUACGGGAGGCAGCAGUGGGGAAUAUUGCACAAUGGGCGAAAGCCUGAUUCAGCCAUGCCGCGUGUAUGAAGAAGGCCUUCGGGUUGUAAAGCACUUUAAGCGGGGAGGCGUUACCCGCAGAAGAAGCACCGGCUAACUCCGUGCCAGCCGCCGCGGUAAUAC